rnacentral:rRNA from 1 species
CCUGGCUUAGGAUGAACGCUAGCGACAGGCCUAACACAUGCAAGUCAGGGGCAGCACAAGGAGCAAUCUGAGGUGGCGACCGGCGCACGGGUGAGUAACACGUAUGCAACCUGCCUGUAAGCGGGGAAUAACCCGUUGAAAGACGGACUAAUACCGCAUAAUACUAAAUUACUGCAUGGUAAUUUAUUUAAACAUUUAUGGCUUACAGAUGGGCAUGCGCAUGAUUAGCUAGUUGGAGAGGUAACGGCUCCCCAAGGCAACGAUCAUUAGGGGUUCUGAGAGGAAGGUCCCCCCACACUGGUACUGAGACACGGACCAGACUCCUACGGGAGGCAGCAGUGAGGAAUAUUGGUCAAUGGACGAGAGUCUGAACCAGCCAAGUCGCGUGCAGGAAGAAUUGUCCUAUGGAUUGUAAACUGCUUUUGCAGGGGAAUAAAGUGCAUCACGUGUGAUGUUUUGUAUGUACUCUGCGAAUAAGGAUCGGCUAACUCCGUGCCAGCCGCGGC